UACGUAGGGGGCAAGCGUUGUCCGGAGUUACUGGGCGUAAAGCGCACGUAGGCGGCUUUGUAAGUUAGAGGUGAAAGCCCGGGGCUCAACUCCGGAAUUGCCUUUAAGACUGCAUCGCUAGAAUUGUGGAGAGGUAAGUGGAAUUCCGAGUGUAGAGGUGAAAUUCGUAGAUAUUCGGAAGAACACCAGUGGCGAAGGCGACUUACUGGACACAUAUUGACGCUGAGGUGCGAAAGCGUGGGGAGCAAACAGG
rnacentral:rRNA from 1 species